GGGUCAGUAGGUUGGUCGUGCCACCGGUACGUACUGGUCUCACUGAUUCCUCCUUCCUGAAGAACCGUAAUGCCAUUAAUUUGGUGUUGCGGGGAAACAGGACUGUUACUUUGAAAAAAUUAGAGUGUUUAAAGCAAGCUAACGCUUGAAUACAUUAGCAUGGAAUAAUGAAAUAGGACGAUCGAUCCUAUUUUGUUGGCCUCUAGGAUUGACGUA
rnacentral:rRNA from 1 species